GGCUCGUUGGUUUAGGGGUAUGAUUCUUGCUUAGGGUGCGAGAGGUCCCGGGUUCAGAUCCCGGACGAGCCC
rnacentral:tRNA from 1 species